AUUGAACGCUGGCGGCAGGCCUAACACAUGCAAGUCGAACGAGAGGCGGACGGGUGAGUAAUGUCUGGGAAACUGCCUGAUGGAGGGGGCUAACUACUGGAAACUGUAGCUAAUACCGCAUACCAUCAGAUGUGCCCAGAUGGGAUUAGCUUGUUGGGGGGGUAACGGCUCACCAAGGCGACGAUCUCUAGCUGGUCUGAGAGGAUGACCAGCCACACGGGAACUGAGACACGGUGCAUAUUCCUACGGGAGGCAGCAGUGGGGAAUAUUGGACAAUGGGCGCAAGCCUGAUGCAGCCAUGCCGCGUGUGUGAAGAAGGCCUUCGGAUUGUAAAGUACUUUAAGCGGGGAGGCGUUACCCGCAGAAGAAGCACCGGCUAACUCCGGGCCAGCAGCCGCGGUAAUAC
rnacentral:rRNA from 1 species